rnacentral:tRNA from 1 species
GCAUAGCUCAGUAGGUAGAGUGCUGCCUUGGUAAGGCAGAGGUCACGGGUUCGAUUCCCGUUGUA